rnacentral:misc_RNA from 1 species
UUUCCGUAGGUGAACCUGCGGAAGGAUCAUUAAUGAUUACGAAUGGUUACCUUCGGUGCUGGCUCUUGCAAGUGCACGUUGGUGGCUUUCAUCCAAUACCCUUUGUGAACCUUUGGCCUCUUGCUAGCUUCGGCUGGCAGAGGAUUUUUACACACACUCGAAUGUAAUGAAAACUAUUGUCGUGCGCAAGCACUAAUGUACAACUUUCAACAACGGAUCUCUUGGCUCUC